rnacentral:snRNA from 1 species
CCCCUUACCUGGCGGGGGACAGGCCGUGGUCAGGAAGGGGGUUCUCCCUGGACGAGGCUAGUCCACCGCACUUCGGCAGCGCUGACCCCUGCGAUAUCCCCACACGCGGGGCCCUGAUCUGCGGUGGUGUUA